rnacentral:misc_RNA from 1 species
GGGAGAUCAAAAAUAUCUUUUCUAUGUUCUAAUUUCGGGUUGGUUUAAACUGUUGAUCUGAUCUGAUCUCGUUUAUGAUUCGAAUCAUUGGAAUUGGUCUGGUAUAUAGCACCAAGACUAUCAAAAUAUCAAUGUGUGUUUCUGAUAGGAACUUUGUGUGAAGCACCAAGAAAAUUUCAAUUUAUGUUUCUGAUAGGGAAG